CUACUUGCGCAGUGGCAAUAUCGUAACCAAUGAAGGUCUCCUGAGGUACGAUUAUUGGCUAGUUGAAACUUUUACUCAUGAGUUUAUUCUUCGCCUUUUGAAUUGCAGUUCUAUCUACCAGUUCAUGGCGCAACAGUCCUAAAGGAC
rnacentral:snRNA from 1 species